ACUGAUGUGGACAAAAUACGGAUCUUAACAGAAAACCGUAAUAAAGUAGCUGUAUAUCGUUGAGUAAACAAGGUAAACGGUAAUAUUUACAUUGGUAGUUCUACUAAUUUACAUGUUAGAAUGUAUACAUAUUUUAGUUUACGUUCUCUAGCAAAAAGUAAUAGACCUAUUGAUAGAGCUCUUUUAAAACACGGGUAAGAAAAAAAAGUAAAAAAAAUUCUCCUACCCCUGCUACCCCCAACUACGGAGUCGUUGGAGGGUCCGGGAAUUUUUUUUAUUUUUUUUCUUGCUAACUUUAGAUUAGAAAUCUUGGAGUAUUGUUCCUAUGAAGAUGUACUUAAAAGAGAGCAAUAUUACUUAGAUCUUUGUAAACCUCAUUAUAAUAUAGCUACUAUCGCAGGCUCUACUUUAGGAUAUAAACAUUCUCAAGAAUCACUAGAAAAAAUGAGAAACAUUAUUCUAAGUGAUGAAGUAAGAGAAAGAAAAGCUCUUUCUACUGUUAAUGCUUCAAUAGCUAAUAGAUUGCCUAUUAGUGUUAAAAAUAUAAUAACUAAUGAUGUAACAAGUUAUGCUAGCAUGACUGAGGCAGGUAAAGCAUUAGGUGUAACAAGAGCUACAGUAAGUCAAGCAUUGUUGCAUAAUAGACUAAUUAAAAAAACGUAUUCUAUCUGUAAAAUUAAAUAAAAACUUCAAAAAAUAAAAUUAUAUUAUCUGUUAAAUGGAUAGUAAUAAAAUGCUAUUUAGGGAGAAAAGUCUCAGCUCGGCCUAAGUUGGAAUAAAUAAAAUUCCACGGCCAAAGAGAUAAUUUGUAUCGUUGUAAAGAUAUCCAAAGAACUGUGGUAAGUUAGUGAAAGACAAUCCUGACUACUAUAGCUGGUUUUCCGCGAAACAUAUGUAAGUAUGUAGUUUAAAUAACAUCAUAGCAGGUACAGAACUGUAAUCUCGGACAAUUUGUGCAUUAAUAUCCUAUUAGGGUAUAUAAUGCCUUGUGCAUAUGGGGGGGUCGUGAAGACUCUAUUCGCGAGUAUUUGCUCUCGGAAGGGCAAUGAUGAGUGUUGAACUAUCAGACAUUUAACGAUAAGGUUGUGUGUCAAAAGGGAAACAGCCCAGAACAAGUGUUUAAGGUUCCAAAGUUUUUGUUAAGUGAAAGUAAGGAAGUAUUUAAACUAUACAACCAGGAAAUAGGCUUAGAAGCGGCCAUUUUUUAAAGACCUCGUAACAGAGCACUGGUUCAAAUGGUUAAUUCGUUAACCUAAUUAGUUAAAAGCGCCGAAGAUAUAACGGAUCUAAAACAAAACACCGACACCUUGUCCAUAAUAAUAAUAUUAGGUUAAAUCCUAGUUUACUAUACUUAAAGGUUAUUUAAGUAUUAUUUAUGGGGUAGCGGAACAUUGGGUAAAUAGGUUUUAAAUAGAUAGCACUCCCUACCCUUAGCUUAAUUGAAUUUGGGGAGAGGUCUUUUAUUAAUGUAUAAUAACUGACUAUAGAGGGUUACGUCUAUUUCAUAAUUACAUUUGUAAUUUGCUCGCUAUAUAGCGGGUUACCAUACAUAUCCCAAGUGAGAAUGCUGACACGAGUAACGAAAAAGAGGGAGAAAUUGGGCAAACCCAAUUGAACAGGAUAGAUUGAAGUACGUAGAUAAACUAAAUAGAUGAUACGACCCAACCUGUUGUAAGGUCCUCUCGCCUUAAGCUUAUGGGAAAGUUAAUCGGUCUCUAAAUUUAACCUAAAGGAUAAAAUGAUGAGGAAAAGUAUAUGUGACAACAUAAAAUGGAGUAAAAUGUUCUGGAAAAGCAUAUACUAAGCAAGGAAGGAGAAAUGGUUCUAGGUUAUAAACUAAAAAGAAGAUACUAGGCAUUUCUUUCUAUAGGGAAUAAACUAGAACAGAUGAUACUAGUUUCCUUGUUUAUACUAAAACCGUACCUAAAAACUACCACAAGUAAGCUAGUAGAGAAUACGAAGGCGUUUGAGCUAACAAUCAUUAAGGAACUCGGCAAAUUGACACCGUAACUGCGGGAGAAGGUGUGCCAUUCCUACUGAUUAAUAUCAGUUUAGGAAGAGGAGACAUAAAAUGGUGUUGCACGACUGUUUAAUUAAAACACAGCACUUUGCGUAAGAUGUAAAUCAAUGUAUAGAGUGCGCUAUCUGCCCAAUGAUGGCUGGUUAACGGAUUUACUUAGACGACUAAAAUAGCCUAGGUUUUGAAGGAACCCCCAUUUAAUGGCGGCCUUACCUAUAAGGGUCCUAAGGUAGCGAAAUACCUUGGCAUUUAAAUGAUGUCGCGCAUGAAUGAUCUCACGAUGCAACAGCUGUCUCAAUGAUUGGCUCAGUGAAACUGGAAUGGCAGUGAAGAUACUGCCUAUCUCUAGAUAGACGAGAAGACCCCAUGCAGCUUUACUGUUACUAGUUAUAGGGUAUAAUUUAACAGGUUUUAGGGAAUAAGGUAGUUGAACGACAAAAUUGAAACACCUUUACUCUGGUUGUUAUAUCAGUAGAAUAGGUUACAUUAUUGUAACUGACGUCUGAAUGUAAUCCAUAAAAGGAGGGAGAUUAUAUCAAGCUCAGGAGACAAUGGCUAGCAGAUGGUUUAUGCGGGGCACAGAUCCCAUAAAGAGUACCUGGGAGUAUCCAAAUUUAUUUUUGUAAUAUGCUAUACGCAAAUUAUAUGGGGCUUUUAUUAAAUAAUUGCCUUGUAUAUUUUAAUUUUUUAAUUACUAUAUUUAGUUUGUUAUUUUUUAUAUUUACUUUUAUAAAGUAUCUAUAACUAAUUCAGUUAUAUUUCUAUUUAAGUUAGAACUAAAACAAUUUAAUAUAAGUAAGAUUUUACCUAUGUGGAAAAUAGGUGUAUAUAUAGUAUUAAUAAUUAAUAUCUAAUGGUAAAAUAACAAUAUAGAGUAAAAGAAGAUAUAAUUAUAACACUAUUAGUUAUUUUUUUUUACAGAAUACCUGUAUAAGAGAAAUGAUGUUGAUAUAUACUUCAAAAGUUUAAUGGCUUAAUCUUGCUUUACUGUUUGACAUACACGUCUAUCAGUUGCGUAAGCAGGGCAUAAAGACCGCAAGACGCAGUAAGGAAAGGUCUUGUAUUAUUGAAAAAGCUACGCUGG
rnacentral:rRNA from 1 species